CGCCGGCGAGUGGCGAACGGGUGAGUAAUGCAUCGGAACGUACCCAGUAGUGGGGGAUAACUUACCGAAAGGUAAGCUAAUACCGCAUACGCACUGAGGUGGAAAGCAGGGGACCGCAAGGCCUUGCGCUAUUGGAGCGGCCGAUGUCGGAUUAGCUAGUUGGUGGGGUAAAGGCCUACCAAGGCGACGAUCCGUAGCGGGUCUGAGAGGAUGAUCCGCCACACUGGAACUGAGACACGGUCCAGACUCCUACGGGAGGCAGCAGUGGGGAAUUUUGGACAAUGGGCGCAAGCCUGAUCCAGCCAUGCCGCGUGAGUGAAGAAGGCCUUCGGGUUGUAAAGCUCUUUCGGCCGGGAAGAAAUCGUGGUGGCGAAUACCUGCCAUGGAUGACGGUACCGGACUAAGAAGCACCGGCUAACUACGUGCCAGCAGCCGCGGUAAUACGUAGGGUGCGAGCGUUAAUCGGAAUUACUGGGCGUAAAGCGUGCGCAGGCGGUUGUGUAAGACAGGCGUGAAAUCCCCGGGCUCAACCUGGGAACUGCGCUUGUGACUGCACGGCUAGAGUACGGCAGAGGGGGGUGGAAUUCCACGUGUAGCAGUGAAAUGCGUAGAGAUGUGGAGGAACACCGAUGGCGAAGGCAGCCCCCUGGGUCGAUACUGACGCUCAUGCACGAAAGCGUGGGGAGCAAACAGGAUUAGAUACCCUGGUAGUCCACGCCCUAAGCGAUGUCGACUAGUUGUUGGAGGGGUAAAACCCUUUAGUAACGUAGCUAACGCGUGAAGUCGACCGCCUGGGGAGU
rnacentral:rRNA from 1 species